AUUGAACGCUGGCGGCAGGCUUAACACAUGCAAGUCGAGCGGGGGAAGGUAGCUUGCUACUGGACCUAGCGGCGGACGGGUGAGUAAUGCUUAGGAAUCUGCCUAUUAGUGGGGGACAACAUCUCGAAAGGGAUGCUAAUACCGCAUACGUCCUACGGGAGAAAGCAGGGGAUCUUCGGACCUUGCGCUAAUAGAUGAGCCUAAGUCGGAUUAGCUAGUUGGUGGGGUAAAGGCCUACCAAGGCGACGAUCUGUAGCGGGUCUGAGAGGAUGAUCCGCCACACUGGGACUGAGACACGGCCCAGACUCCUACGGGAGGCAGCAGUGGGGAAUAUUGGACAAUGGGGGGAACCCUGAUCCAGCCAUGCCGCGUGUGUGAAGAAGGCCUUAUGGUUGUAAAGCACUUUAAGCGAGGAGGAGGCUACUUUAGUUAAUACCUAGAGAUAGUGGACGUUACUCGCAGAAUAAGCACCGGCUAACUCUGUGCCAGCAGCCGCGGUAAUACAGAGGGUGCGAGCGUUAAUCGGAUUUACUGGGCGUAAAGCGUGCGUAGGCGGCUUAUUAAGUCGGAUGUGAAAUCCCCGAGCUUAACUUGGGAAUUGCAUUCGAUACUGGUGAGCUAGAGUAUGGGAGAGGAUGGUAGAAUUCCAGGUGUAGCGGUGAAAUGCGUAGAGAUCUGGAGGAAUACCGAUGGCGAAGGCAGCCAUCUGGCCUAAUACUGACGCUGAGGUACGAAAGCAUGGGGAGCAAACAGGAUUAGAUACCCUGGUAGUCCAUGCCGUAAACGAUGUCUACUAGCCGUUGGGGCCUU
rnacentral:rRNA from 1 species